rnacentral:rRNA from 1 species
AAUACAUGCAAGUCGAGCGGACCCUUCGGGGUUAGCGGCGGACGGGUGAGUAACACGUGGGUAAUCUGCCCAACUGACUGGAAUAACGCCUGGAAACGGUGCUAAUGCCGGAUAGGCAACUGGUAGGCAUCUACCGGUUGGGAAAGGUGCAACUGCACCGCAGAUGGAGGAGCCCGCGGCGCAUUAGCUAGUUGGUGGGGUAACGGCCUACCAAGGCGACGAUGCGUAGCCGACCUGAGAGGGUGACCGGCCACACUGGGACUGAGACACGGCCCAGACUCCUACGGGAGGCAGCAGUAGGGAAUCUUCCGCAAUGGGCGCAAGCCUGACGGAGCAACGCCGCGUGAGCGAAGAAGGCCUUCGGGUUGUAAAGCUCAGUCAUUCGGGAAGAGCGGACAGGAGAGGGAAUGCUCCUGUCGAGACGGUACCGGAAGAGGAAGCCCCGGCUAACUACGUG